rnacentral:rRNA from 1 species
UGGGGCGGUCUCCUCCCAAAGCGUAACGGAGGAGCACGAAGGUUAGCUAAUCCUGGUCGGACAUCAGGAGGUUAGUGCAAUGGCAUAAGCUAGCUUGACUGCGAGCGUGACGGCGCGAGCAGGUGCGAAAGCAGGUCAUAGUGAUCCGGUGGUUCUGAAUGGAAGGGCCAUCGCUCAACGGAUAAAAGGUACUCCGGGGAUAACAGGCUGAUACCGCCCAAGAGUUCAUAUCGACGGCGGUGUUUGGCACCUCGAUGUCGGCUCAUCACAUCCUGGGGCUGAAGUAGGUCCCAAGGGUAUGGCUGUUCGCCAUUUAAAGUGGUACGCGAGCUGGGUUUAGAACGUCGUGAGACAGUUCGGUCCCUAUCUGCCGUGGGCGCUGGAGAAUUGAGGGGGGCUGCUCCUAGUACGAGAGGACCGGAGUGGACGCAUCACUGGUGUUCGGGUUGUCAUGCCAAUGGCACUGCCCGGUAGCUAAAUG